rnacentral:lncRNA from 1 species
CUUGGAUUGUGGGAAACGUAGUCUCCCGAGGCGGCCUUCCGCUUUAGCUUCUUCCCUGUCAUGGCUGCUUCCCGUCCGUGAACAUCGGAGGCCUGAGCCCGGGGAGUGUUGGCUGCUUUCGCCCCUGCCGCCGCGCUGGGUGCUCCCAGAGAAAGAUCUAGCCUUGAGUAUUUUCCUUCAGCCCUCAAGAACCAGGCAACAUGGCCUCAAUGGGUGAUCUCUCCAAAGUAUUUCUGGUCCUCCUUUCACUGCUCUGUGUGCUGCCUGUGGUGGAAGCAGUAGAAGCUGGCGAUGGGAUAGCGCUUCUUCUGGGCAUGUUUCUCAGCCUUACAGGCAUUUGUGCCUGUUUGGGGAUAUAUGCCAGAAAGAGAAAUGGACAGAUGUGACUUGGGGCAGGGAUGGGGUCGCCCAAGUCAAACAUAACCCUGAAAACCUCUCUGUGUGAGAUUUCUAACUCAGAAAUCAGUUUCUUAAAUGUCAAGGUCCAGAUAGUAAGCAAAUGGUUAUUUUCUAAUCCUUGGAAGAAGUUGCCUUAAAAUGUAAAAAGGGAAGGAAGAAUCAUUUUAUUCAUGAUCAGUAUAAGCCUGGUGGUUCACCAACAUGAAAAUUGGUCAAUAACUUGCAAGGGCUUAAAGGAAGGGGUGGAGGGUACUAUCAAAGAAAUAAAAGAACUGUCAUUUAACCUGAAUGAUGUUCCUCGGCUUCUGGAGCAAUGAAGUUAUAGGAAAAAAGAACUGCCUGUUUAGAAUUGUUGGAUGUCAGAUAUUUUCUGUACUCUAAUAUUACGAAAAAUACUACCCAAAGAGGAUUUGAGACAUCCUUGUUCUGUAUUUAUAUCAAAGAAUUUAUCUAGUUUGUAACCCCAGUUAUAUACUACGGUUAAAUAUAAAAUUUACCUGGUAGCCAUUGGAAGCUUAAAAAAUUCUUCAUAAGGGAUUUGGAAACAUAUGUUAGUUACAUAUUUGCUGUUUAAAUAAAGGAAAGAUUUAAUGUCAUUAAAAAAACUUUUAUAUUGACUACUAAGCAUUUCUGGGAAACACGUUAAAAUAAACAUUAGACUGCUAUGCUAACAAAAUGAAUACUUAAAUGUUUGAUUUCAUUUAUAUGGAGGUGCUUGUUUUUAAAGAAUGUGGAGCAUGAGUUAAGUUUUUUAUUCCAUUUUAGCCAUGAGAAAAGAAUCCUUACCUUGACUGACCUAAUCAGGG